UUUGCCGGGUGCCGUGUGCUCGCAGCAGGUCAAGGAACUACGCGCCCUUCACUAUCUGACGAAAAAAUUAAAAAAAACUCCGAGUUUAAAUCUUUCCGACACACAAACGCGUAUCGCCCAAGAAAUAAACAGUUAUUGUUCGCCGAUUGAAAAAACAAAAUUUUAAUAAUCUUCCAUUAAGAUACUUCAACGGCAGCGUCUCUCAAUAAUUCAUCAGUCACGGAGGGAUUUCUCAAAGAUCUACUCAAAUAUUUCUUCCACCGAGAUAUGAUACCUGCGCAGGAACGACCGAGUUGCUGACGCAAAGGGAUGGGCUGGAUUUUCUUGCUGUUUUUAAUACUAACCUUCAUCAUUAUCAUCGUUACAAGUUUUCCGUCACCGCAAGGAAACGCUCACGGCCCAUCGAAUCCUACCUUAAGCACGCCAGCACCAGGUGUGAUGAUGGCUUCCGGUGGGGGAGUUGGCGUCGUUCGCAGAAAUUGGGCCGGUUGGAGGGAAUGGAGACGAGCCGACCCAACGUUAAUUAAUAGCUUGUGGAGGAGCAAAAUGGGAAAUGGUAUACGAAAACAAUUAGGAAACGCGGAGGUGUACAUAAUGUUAGCUUUACUAAUCGGAUUAGUAACUGUCGUCAUCGGAUGCUGGUUGUCCGAUAAUUGUUGGUCUCCCGAACCAGAAACUGGAGGAACGGUGGCCUGACCAAAGCUAAAAAGGGGGCCACCAACACCUCCUUUAAGAUCUCUGACUCCAGUCAGUGUGACCGAAUCGUCAAGUUCAUCAAACGGAGAUUCAAGUCCGGAAAGCGAUUGGCCACUGGUGGAAGCAUCAGAAAGCGAUACCGCAAACCUUUGACGUCACGCCCCCCAGCACCAACAACAACACGUUGGAUCCCCAGAGAACAACAACGUUGUUUCCGCAGUCGAGGAAGACAUCAUUUUCGACAGCGGAGUCGUCCACGUGCUGGAGGGCAAAAAAGACACGUCGCUUUUAGUUCCGGCGACGGCAAACGGCACGGCGGAUCUUUCCGGUUUGGCGGGAAUCACCAAUUUCGUUAUGACGGGAACGUCUCCGAUGCACAUUGUCGCUGCGUGCCGACAACAACACAACUCAUCGACAACUACGGUCAUUGUAGGAGACAUUGCGUUAUCCGGAAAGCAACAGCAGCAAUUAUUGAUUCAGAACGAAGACGAAGAUGAGGAAUUAGGAAAUUUACCGACUAUUCCAACACCCCCUUUACCGCCGACAAGUCAACAACAAAAAUUGGGGUGUAACAGCGUUAUACUCGAUAUGGGUAAUCAGUUUGAGUUGUUGUGAAGAUAUUAAUUUGAAUCAUGAACAAUUUUUGCUUUUAACACUCAAAAAAAAUUUGUUAACACAAAAAAAUUAGCUGAUAAGGACCUAACCUAAAAUAAAAAAGAAAUAGUUAAGAUAUUAAUAUCUGACUGUGUACUGAGUAUGUCAAUUACUAAGAUUGUAUGAUAUUUGUAAAAUCCUUUGUCAUUAGAACGCUAAACGAGAAAAUUUAAAAGUUUUUUAAUUUAAAAGAACGCUUAGGUUCGUUCAAAAUCGCUUGUGAUCUCUUCAUGACAUUAAAAUUAAUUUUAAAAAAAUUAAAAAUCAUUUCACUUCUCUUUUGAGAGACUAAUAAAUUGUAUAUCUCUAUCAUAUCUCUUCAAGUAACCGGCCUUCUCUCUCUAAAUAUGGUGCCUAUAGAACACAGUUGCUGUUUUUUUAAAUGAAUCAUUUAUAAUUAAAAAAAAUAGGCAAUACAAAAUGUUUAACAUAUUGUAACUGUUAAAUACAUUCCUUUUUAUUUAUUUACUUAUUUAAAUCUUAAUUUUCGCCAAGGAAUUGUAAAAAAAAUUAAAAUAUGUAACUAGAGUACUUCCUGUAUUUCCUUUCCUUUUGAAACUCUUGGCUGUUGUUUAAAAUAAACCAAAUUGAAGUAAUUUCGCUUCAAUGUUGCUAGUAAAUCCUA